AGGGAAUCUUCCGCAAUGGACGAAAGUCUGACGGAGCAACGCCGCGUGAGUGAUGAAGGUUUUCGGAUCGUAAAGCUCUGUUGCCAGGGAAGAACGUCCUGUAGAGUAACUGCUACAGGAGUGACGGUACCUGAGAAGAAAGCCCCGGCUAACUACGUGCCAGCAGCCGCGGUAAUACGUAGGGGGCAAGCGUUGUCCGGAAUUAUUGGGCGUAAAGCGCGCGCAGGCGGCUGUUAAGUCUGGUGGUUAAUCCUGGGGCUCAACCCCGGGUCGCACUGGAAACUGGAUGGCUUGAGUGCAGAAGAGGAGAGUGGAAUUCCACGUGUAGCGGUGAAAUGCGUAGAGAUGUGGAGGAACACCAGUGGCGAAGGCGACUCUCUGGGCUGUAACUGACGCUGAGGCGCGAAAGCGUGGGGAGCAAAC
rnacentral:rRNA from 1 species